GAGGGAAAGGCGAAAAGAACCCCGGCGAGGGGAGUGAAAAAGAACCUGAAACCGUGUACGUACAAGCAGUAGGAGCCUCUUUAUGGGGUGACUGCGUACCUUUUGUAUAAUGGGUCAGCGACUUAUAUUCUGUAGCAAGGUUAACCGUAUAGGGGAGCCGUAGGGAAACCGAGUCUUAACUGGGCGAAUGAGUUGCAGGGUAUAGACCCGAAACCCGGUGAUCUAUCCAUGGGCAGGUUGAAGGUUGGGUAACACUAACUGGAGGACCGAACCGACUAAUGUUGAAAAAUUAGCGGAUGACUUGUGGAUGGGGGUGAAAGGCCAAUCAAACCGGGAGAUAGCUGGUUCUCCCCGAAAGCUAUUUAGGUAGCGCCUCGUGAAUUCAUCUUCGGGGGUAGAGCACUGUUUCGACUAGGGGGUCAUCCCGACUUACCAACUCGAUGCAAACUGCGAAUACCGAAGAAUGUUAUCACGGGAGACACACGGCGGGUGCUAACGUCCGUCGUGAAGAGGGAAACAACCCAGACCGCCAGCUAAGGUCCCAAAGUCAUGGUUAAGUGGGAAACGAAGUGGGAAGGCUCAGACAGCCAGGAUGUUGGCUUAGAAGCAGCCAUCAUUUAAAGAAAGCGUAAUAGCUCACUGGUCGAGUCGGCCCGCGCGGAAGAUGUAACGGGGCUAAACCAUGCACCGAAGCUGCGGCAGCGAACGUAUCACUUAAAUUUGUUUGAGUGAAUAACGAUUGACGGAACGAAGUGACGUCAAUGCGUUAAUGAAAGUCGAGGCGAAAGCACGACAAAGCGAAUUUAAGGAUACGUUCGUUGGGUAGGGGAGCGUUCUGUAAGCCUGCGAAGGUGUACUGUGAGGUAUGCUGGAGGUAUCAGAAGUGCGAAUGCU
rnacentral:rRNA from 1 species